rnacentral:rRNA from 1 species
UACAGAGGUCUCAAGCGUUGUUCGGAUUCAUUGGGCGUAAAGGGUGCGUAGGCGGCGCGGUAAGUCGGGUGUGAAAUCUCGGAGCUUAACUCCGAAACUGCACUUGAUACUGCCUUGCUCGAGUACUGGAGAGGAGAUUGGAAUUUACGGUGUAGCAGUGAAAUGCGUAGAUAUCGUAAGGAAGACCAGUGGCGAAGGCGAAUCUCUGGACAGUUACUGACGCUGAGGCACGAAGGCCAGGGGAGCAAACGGG